CUUAACACAUGCAAGUCGCACGAGAUGAUUGACCGCUUGCUUUUGAAGUCGAGUGGCAAACGGGUGAGUAACGCGUGAGGAACCCUGCCUUGAAGAGGGGGACAACCGUUGGAAACGACUGCUAAUACCSCAUGAAAAAUAUAGGGGUCGCAUGAUUCUUAUGCCAAAGAUUUAUCGCUUCAAGAUGGCCUCGCGUCUGAUUAGCUAGUUGGCGGGGUAACGGCCCACCAAGGCGACGAUCAGUAGCCGGACUGAGAGGUUGAACGGCCACAUUGGGACUGAGAUACGGCCCAGACUCCUACGGGAGGCAGCAGUGGGGAAUAUUGGGCAAUGGGCGCAAGCCUGACCCAGCAACGCCGCGUGAAGGAAGAAGGCUUUCGGGUUGUAAACUUCUUUUAAGAGGGAAGAGCAGAAGACGGUACCUCUAGAAUAAGCCCACGGCUAACUACGUGCCAGCAGCCGCGGUAAUACGUAGGUGGCAAGCGUUGUCCGGAUUUACUGGGUGUAAAGGGCGUACAGCCGGGUCUGCAAGUCAGAUGUGAAAUCCAUGGGCUCAACCCAUGAACUGCAUUUGAAACUGUAGAUCUUGAGUGUCGGAGGGGCAAUCGGAAUUCCUAGUGUAGCGGUGAAAUGCGUAGAUAUUAGGAGGAACACCAGUGGCGAAGGCGGAUUGCUGGACGAUAACUGACGGUGAGGCGCGAAAGUGUGGGGAGCAAACAGGAUUAGAUACCCUGGUAGUCCACACUGUAAACGAUGAAUACUAGGUGUGCGGGGACUGACCCCCUGCGUGCCGCAGUAAACACAAUAAGUAUUCCACCUGGGGAGUACGAUCGCAAGGU
rnacentral:rRNA from 1 species